rnacentral:misc_RNA from 1 species
GAGAAGAACGCAGCGAAAUGCGAUAAGUAAUGUGAAUUGCAGAAUUCAGUGAAUCAUCGAAUCUUUGAACGCACAUUGCGCCCGCUAGUAUUCUGGCGGGCAUGCCUGUCCGAGCGUCAUUUCAACCCUCAAGCCCCCGGGCUUGGUGUUGGGGAUCGGCGAGCCUCCGCGCCCGCCGUCCCCUAAAUCUAGUGGCGGUCUCGCUGUAGCUUCCUCUGUGUAGUAGCACACCUCGCACUGGGAAACAGCGCGGCCACGCCGUUAAACCCCCAACUUCUGAACGUUUGACCUCGGAUCAGGUAGGAAUACCCGCUGAACUUAAGCAUAUCAAUAAGCGGAGGA